rnacentral:lncRNA from 1 species
CUGAGCCUCGUAAAUACUGUGAAAUAGAAACAUCUAAAACUUAUUCUUCUUUGAAUUUGAACUACUUUUUGCUCCUAAGCAUGGAAUCAAGUUGUACGUCAGUGAGCAAAACAAGAAUUGUUGACACUUUAAAUAGUUCUCUUUGACACAGAGCAGAAAACCAAAAGCUGAGAGACAGUGAAUGAGGGUUGCAGAGAGUAGAGGGAAGCUCAAAGGGCAGCUGCU